rnacentral:rRNA from 1 species
GUUGUAUGGUUAAGUGACUAAGCGUACACGGUGGAUGCCUUGGCAGUCAGAGGCGAUGAAAGACGUAGUAACUUGCGAUAAGCCCAGAUUAGGUAGUAACAACCAUUUGAGUCUGGGAUUUCUGAAUGGGGAAACCCACGUGCAUAAGCACGUAUCCUUACCUGAAUACAUAGGGUAAGGAGGCGAACCGGGGGAACUGAAACAUCUAAGUACCCCGAGGAAAAGAAAUCAACCGAGAUUCCGAAAGUAGCGGCGAGCGAAAUUGGACUAGCCCUUAAGCUUUACACGCGUUAGACGAACGGUCUGGAAAGUCCGACGAUACAGGGUGAUAGUCCCGUAGUUGACGACGUGUGUUCAGUGAAAUCGAGUAGGGCGGGACACGUGAUAUCCUGUCUGAAUAUGGGGGGACCAUCCUCCAAGGCUAAAUACUACUGACUGACCGAUAGUGAACCAGUACCGUGAGGGAAAGGCGAAAAGAACCCCUGUGAGGGGAGUGAAAUAGAACCUGAAACCGUGUACGUACAAGCAGUAGGAGCACCUUCGUGGUGUGACUGCGUACCUUUUGUAUAAUGGGUCAGCGACUUAUAUUCAGUGGCAAGGUUAACCAUCUAGGGGAGCCGUAGGGAAACCGAGUCUUAACUGGGCGUUCAGUCUCUGGAUAUAGACCCGAAACCAGGUGAUCUAGCCAUGGGCAGGUUGAAGGUUGAGUAACAUCAACUGGAGGACCGAACCGACUAAUGUUGAAAAAUUAGCGGAUGACUUGUGGCUAGGGGUGAAAGGCCAAUCAAACCUGGAGAUAGCUGGUUCUCCCCGAAAGCUAUUUAGGUAGCGCCUCGGACGAAUACUACUGGGGGUAGAGCACUGUUAAGGCUAGGGGGUCAUCCCGACUUACCAACCCUUUGCAAACUCCGAAUACCAGUAAGUACUAUCCGGGAGACACACGGCGGGUGCUAACGUCCGUCGUGGAGAGGGAAACAACCCAGACCGCCAGCUAAGGUCCCAAAUUACUACUAAGUGGGAAACGAUGUGGGAAGGCUCAGACAGCCAGGAUGUUGGCUUAGAAGCAGCCAUCAUUUAAAGAAAGCGUAAUAGCUCACUGGUCGAGUCGGCCUGCGCGGAAGAUGUAACGGGGCUAAGUAGUAAACCGAAGCUGCGGCAAUGUGCUUUUGCACAUUGGGUAGGGGAGCGUUCUGUAAGCGGUUGAAGGUGUGUGGUAACGCAUGCUGGACGUAUCAGAAGUGCGAAUGCUGACAUGAGUAACGAUAAAGGGGGUGAAAAACCUCCUCGCCGGAAGACCAAGGGUUCCUGUCCAACGUUAAUCGGGGCAGGGUAAGUCGACCCCUAAGGCGAGGCCGAAAGGCGUAGUCGAUGGGAAACGGGUUAAUAUUCCCGUACUUCUUACAAUUGCGAUGGGGGGACGGAGAAGGCUAGGUGGGCCUGGCGACGGUUGUCCAGGUUCAAGUGUGUAGGCUUAAGAGUUAGGUAAAUCCGGCUCUUUCUAAGGCUGAGACACGACGUCUAGCACCUACGGGUGUGAAGUCAUUGAUGCCAUGCUUCCAGGAAAAGCCUCUAAGCUUCAGAUUGUAAGGAAUCGUACCCCAAACCGACACAGGUGGUCGGGUAGAGAAUACCAAGGCGCUUGAGAGAACUCGGGUGAAGGAACUAGGCAAAAUGGUACCGUAACUUCGGGAGAAGGUACGCUCUCGACGGUGAAGUCCCUCGCGGAUGGAGCUAUUGAGAGUCGCAGAUACCAGGUGGCUGCAACUGUUUAUUAAAAACACAGCACUGUGCAAAAUCGUAAGAUGACGUAUACGGUGUGACGCCUGCCCGGUGCCGGAAGGUUAAUUGAUGGGGUUAGACUUCGGUCGAAGCUCUUGAUCGAAGCCCCGGUAAACGGCGGCCGUAACUAUAACGGUCCUAAGGUAGCGAAAUUCCUUGUCGGGUAAGUUCCGACCUGCACGAAUGGCGUAAUGAUGGCCACGCUGUCUCCACCCGAGACUCAGUGAAAUUGAAAUCGCUGUGAAGAUGCAGUGUACCCGCGGCUAGACGGAAAGACCCCGUGAACCUUUACUACAGCUUGGCACUGAACAUUGACCCUACAUGUGUAGGAUAGGUGGGAGGCUUUGAAGCACGUACGCCAGUAUGUGUGGAGCCGUCCUUGAAAUACCACCCUUGUAGUGUUGAUGUUCUAACGUUGACCCCUAAUCGGGGUUGCGGACAGUGCCUGGUGGGUAGUUUGACUGGGGCGGUCUCCUCCCAAAGAGUAACGGAGGAGCACGAAGGUGGGCUAAUCACGGUUGGACAUCGUGAGGUUAGUGCAAUGGCAUAAGCCCGCUUGACUGCGAGAAUGACAAUUCGAGCAGGUGCGAAAGCAGGUCAUAGUGAUCCGGUGGUUCUGAAUGGAAGGGCCAUCGCUCAACGGAUAAAAGGUACUCCGGGGAUAACAGGCUGAUACCGCCCAAGAGUUCAUAUCGACGGCGGUGUUUGGCACCUCGAUGUCGGCUCAUCACAUCCUGGGGCUGAAGUCGGUCCCAAGGGUAUGGCUGUUCGCCAUUUAAAGUGGUACGCGAGCUGGGUUUAGAACGUCGUGAGACAGUUCGGUCCCUAUCUGCCGUGGGCGUUGGAAGAUUGAAGGGGGCUGCUCCUAGUACGAGAGGACCGGAGUGGACGAACCUCUGGUGUUCGGGUUGUGUCGCCAGACGCAUUGCCCGGUAGCUAAGUUCGGAAUCGAUAACCGCUGAAAGCAUCUAAGCGGGAAGCGAGCCCUGAGAUGAGUCUUCCCUGAUACUUUAAGUAUCCUAAAGGGUUGUCGGAGACUACGACGUUGAUAGGUCAGGUGUGUAAGUGCUGUGAGGCAUUGAGCUAACUGAUACUAAUUGCCCGUGAGGCUUAACCAUACAACACCCAAGGGGUUU